GAUGAACGCUGGCGGCGUGCUUAACACAUGCAAGUCGAACGGAAAGGCCAGUGCUUGCACUGGUACUCGAGUGGCGAACGGGUGAGUAACACGUGGGUGAUCUGCCCUGUACUUCGGGAUAAGCUUGGGAAACUGGGUCUAAUACCGGAUAGGACAACUUUUUGGAUAUUGUUGUGGAAAGCUUUUGCGGUAUGGGAUGAGCUCGCGGCCUAUCAGCUUGUUGGUGGGGUAAUGGCCUACCAAGGCGUCGACGGGUAGCCGGCCUGAGAGGGUGUACGGCCACAUUGGGACUGAGAUACGGCCCAGACUCCUACGGGAGGCAGCAGUGGGGAAUAGUGCACAAUGGGCGCAAGCCUGAUGCAGCGACGCCGCGUGGGGGAUGAAGUCCUUCGGGUUGUAAACUCCUUUCGCUAGGGACGAAGCGUAAGUGACGGUACCUGGAGAAGAAGCACCGGCUAACUACGUG
rnacentral:rRNA from 1 species